rnacentral:rRNA from 1 species
UGCCCUGCCUGUCCUAAUAUCUACCCAUGUUUUUUGCGUACUAUUCGUUUCCUCGGCGGGCUUGCCCGCCAGUAGGACACCAUAAAACCUUUUGUAAUUGCAGUCAGCGUCAGAAAAACUUUAAUAGUUACAACUUUCAACAACGGAUCUCUUGGUUCUGGCAUCGAUGAAGAACGCAGCGAAAUGCGAUAAGUAGUGUGAAUUGCAGAAUUCAGUGAAUCAUCGAAUCUUUGAACGCACAUUGCGCCCCUUGGUAUUCCAUGGGGCAUGCCUGUUCGAGCGUCAUUUGUACCCUCAAGCUCUGCUUGGUGUUGGGCGUUUGUCCCCUUUACAAGGACUCGCCUCAAAAAUAUUGGCAGCCGGCAUACUGGUCUCGGAGCGCAGCACAUUUUGCGCCCCAUUUCCUGAAUACUGGCGUCCAUGAAGCCCAUAUAUUUUAACUCUUGACCUCGGAUCAGGUAGGGAUACCCGCUGAACUUAAGCAUAUCAAUAAGCGGAGACCAAA